GGAACCGAGGGGCGGGAGGCGCGAAUUCAUCUGUGUGGCGCUGCGGAGUGCAGCCUGGAGAGGGAGGAGUGGCUGUACCUUGGUACCUGGCAGCGUCGGAACAGCCGUGAAGCACCUAAAGUAGAGAAGAAGGCAGAAUGUCCUCAGUGUUGUCUGACUACACCAUCGGUGGGGUGAAGAUCCACUUUCCCUGUAGAGCGUAUCCAGCACAGCUUGCGAUGAUGAAUUCUAUUGUCAGAGGACUAAACAGCAGCCAACACUGUUUGCUGGAGAGUCCCACAGGAAGUGGAAAAAGUUUAGCCUUACUUUGUUCUGCAUUAGCAUGGCAGCAAUCUCUUAGUGAGAAGCCAGUGGAUGAGGGCCUGAAUAAAAAGCCUGAGGCACCACCUUCAUGUUCUUGUGCAUGCCAUUCAAAGAAUUUUACCUACAGCGACACAAACCUGGACACUUCACCUCAUUUCAAUAGUCCAAGCAAACCAUCUUCUGGAAGAAAUGGAGUCUCAACUCCCUGUCAAGACUCUCCUGAAAAAAAUACUCUGGCUGCAAAGUUAUCUGCCAAGAAACAGGCAUCUAUACACAGAGACGAAGAUGAUGAUUUUCAGGUAGAGAAGAAAAGAAUCCGACCCUUAGAAACUACACAGCAGAUAAGAAAACGUCAUUGUUUGGAAAAGGACGUCCACCAUGUAGAUGCACGACUAGCUUCGGAAAAGAGAGUAAAGCCUGAGUCUCCGAUAGGAAAGUCUUUCUCCGACAGGAAAGACUCUUUUCAAAAUGUGGAUGGCCUUUGUUCCAGGUGCUGCUGUUCUGCUAAACAAGGAAACAACCAAGAGCCUGCAAAUACUGUUAAGAAAGAUCACGGGGGACAAUGCAAGAGACCUAAAAUUUAUUUUGGGACGCGGACACACAAGCAGAUUGCUCAGAUUACCAGGGAGCUCCGUAAGACAGCUUACUCAGGGGUCCCGAUGACUAUUCUUUCCAGCAGGGACCACAGCUGUGUCCAUCCUGAAGUGGUGGGGAAUUUCAACAGAAAGGAGAAGUGCAUGGAGCUGCUGGAUGGCAAGCACGGGAAGUCCUGCUAUUUCUAUCAUGGUGUUCAUAAAAUUAGUAAUCAGCAGACACUGCAGCACCUUCAGGGCAUGUCCAGAGCCUGGGACAUAGAAGAACUAGUCAGCCUCGGGAGGAAACUGAAAGCUUGUCCCUACUAUACAGCUCGAGAACUGAUAGAGGAUGCUGACAUAGUGUUUUGUCCCUACAACUACCUUUUAGACUCACAAAUAAGGGAAACUAUGGAUAUAAAGCUGAAAGGACAAGUUGUCAUUUUAGAUGAAGCUCACAACAUUGAAGACUGUGCUCGGGAAUCAGCAAGCUACAGUGUAACCGAAGUUCAGCUUAGGUUUGCUCGGGAUGAGCUAGAUAGUUUGAUCAACGGUAACAUAAGGAAGAAAAGCCACGAGCCCCUACGAGAUGUGUGCUAUAACCUCAUCAAUUGGUUAGAAACAAAUUCUAAGCAUCUUGUAGAAAGGGGUUAUGAGUCGUCUUGUAAAAUAUGGAGUGGAAAUGAGAUGCUCUUAAACUUAUACAGGAUGGGCAUCACCACGGCUACUUUUCCAGUUUUGCAGAGGCAUCUCUCAGCUGUUCUUCAAAAAGAAGAGAAAGUCACACCAAUCCAUGGUAAAGAGGAGGCAAUACAAAUCCCUAUUAUCAGUGCAUCAACUCAAGUCGUGCUCAAAGGACUCUUUAUGGUGCUUGACUAUCUCUUUAGAGAAAAUAGCAGAUUUGCAGAUGAUUAUAAAGUUGCUAUUCAACAGACUUACUCCUGGACAAAUCAGAUUGCUAUUUUUGAUAAAACUGGAGUCUUGGCUGUACCAAAAAAUAAGAAACAUUCACGACAGAAAAUUGGAGUUAAUGCGCUAAACUUUUGGUGUUUAAAUCCAGCUGUGGCCUUUUCAGAUAUUAAUGACAAAGUACGGACCAUUGUUCUAACAUCAGGAACACUCUCACCCCUGAAAUCCUUUUCAUCUGAGCUUGGUGUCACAUUUAGCAUCCAACUGGAGGCUAACCAUGUCAUCAGUAACUCACAGGUUUGGGUUGGUACUGUUGGCUCAGGCCCUAAGGGUCGGAAUCUCUGCGCUACCUUUCAGCAUACUGAAACAUUUGAGUUCCAGGAUGAAGUGGGAAUGCUUCUGUUAUCUGUGUGCCAGACUGUGAGCCAAGGAAUUCUGUGCUUUUUGCCAUCUUACAAGCUAUUAGAGAAAUUAAGAGAACGUUGGAUUUUCACUGGCCUAUGGCAUAGUUUGGAGUCAGUGAAGACAGUCAUUGCAGAACCCCAAGGAGGAGAAAAAACUGAUUUUGAUGAAUUGCUGCAAGUGUACUAUGACGCCAUCAAGUUCAAAGGAGAAAAGGAUGGAGCCCUUCUCAUAGCAGUCUGUCGUGGCAAGGUGAGCGAGGGUCUGGAUUUCUCAGAUGAUAACGCCCGUGCUGUCAUAACCGUAGGGAUUCCUUUCCCAAAUGUGAAGGAUCUUCAGGGUCUUCACUAAACCUGUUUUGGCUAUGCUGCUGGCCCCAGAGCUCUCGGGAUUCACUUGGGUCUUCAGCAUUAGGGUGGAGCUAAAACGACAAUACAAUGACCACCACUCAAAAUCGAGAGGUCUUCUGCCUGGCCGUCAGUGGUAUGAAAUUCAAGCAUACCGAGCCUUGAAUCAGGCUCUAGGCAGAUGUAUUCGGCACAAAAAUGAUUGGGGAGCUCUUAUUCUAGUGGACGAUCGCUUCAAUAACAAUCCAAACCGCUAUAUAUCAGGACUUUCUAAAUGGGUGAGGCAGCAGAUUCAGCACCACUCAAGCUUUGCAAGUGCCCUGGAGUCGCUGACCGAGUUCUCCAGAAGACACCAGAAAGUUACUAAUAGAUCCAAAAAAGACGAAAAAUGUACAAAAGACAAUGAGCCUACUCUGGAAGUGGCCUGUUUGGAGGAUAGCACUUUUACAAGUGUGUCAGAAUCAAGUCAUCAGUCACCAGAAAACUCGACAGAAGAAGCAGAAGUGUGUGUCCAGGAGCUUCAGUGUCCCCAGGUGGCUACUAAAAGCCCCUCAGUAGCAAGCCACGGUGUUUCCAGAAGGAAGAAAAGUGAUCCAGGACUAAGAGGAGAGUCUCUUCAGACAAUGAAAACAGAAAAAAAUGAGAUUUCCCGAUCUUCAAGCCCAACUUUUGGAAAGCAAACAGAGCCAGUCAACUGGCCUAUCUUUAAUUCUCUAAGACGGCAUUUCAAUAGUAAAGUAAAAAAUUGCACACCAGUACUCAAGUCAUCAAAGAACCGUGCCCCUGGUUCUUCCACUUUCAAUAAAACUGCUUUGCCACUCACAGGUAACUGUGUGCCCUCAAACGAAACAGCAGACACAUCACUGGGACCUUGCCUUCAGUCAGAAGUCAUAAUUUCACCAGUGAAGAUUGAAGCUACUCCUGCUACGAAUUAUUCCAAACAGGUGUUCUGCUGUGAGAAAGACCUACUCCCGGAUACUGAAUUGUCGCCAGGAACUGAAGAAGCCAAGUGUCCCAGCUCAAACAAAGCUGCUGAAACAGAAGUGGAUGAUGACUCUGAGUGUUUUACACCUGAACUUUUUGAUCCUGUCGAUACCAACGAAGAAAACGGUGAACUGGUUGAAACUGAUAGAUCAAGUCAUAGUUCAGAUUGUUUUUCAGCGGAAGAGCUUUUUGAAACUGCAACUGGAUUUGGGCAGAAGUGAAAGUCGAAGGUUGCACAGACACAUAGUUGAAUGGAGUCACACCAGUGGAAGAGAGCAGCGCUGGCAACUUGUAUAAGUGAAUUAGAUCUGGGGAAACUCUUGAAUAGACACGAGGGCCUGUAAGCAGUGGGGGCUCCCUGGGAUUAGCUGAUGCUGGCGGGCUUUUGUUAAGCCUUGUGUAAAUAAUAAUUUGUAUACUGGAUAAAUGUUAUCAUUUUAACUUUUAAGAUAUAUUCUUCAUUGGAAUUCAUUAUCGGAUUUUAAGUAUGUUAUUUCAGAAAUACAGGUUUUAUUCUAGAGUUUUAAGUAAUCUAUACAAAGUACUUUCCUCUGAUACUUAGUUGCCUGGGACACUGAUAUUCUCACACAAUUACUCAUAUUUUGAAGUUCACUUAAUGUAGUUUCAUACUGAUACAGGAAAAUUAAUCUCAGUUAAAUUGAGGAUGGAGAGAUGGCUCAGUGGUUAAGAGCACUGACUGCUCUUCCAAAGGUCUGGAGUUCAAAUUCCAGCAACUACAUGGUAGCUCACAACCAUCUGUAACAAGAUCUGACACCCUCUUCUGGAGUGUCUGAAGACAGCUACAGUGCACCUACAUAUUAUAAAUAAAUCUUUUAAAAAAGAUCUCAUUUAAAUCUAGCCACACUUUAGCCAUAUGUCACUGUGUAUUUUAAUUCACCGGCUAUGCUUUAUAAAAAUCGUAGUUUGUCUCAAAAAAAUUGUUGUCUCAUUAACCUUCCUUAGAUCAGGCAUAGAGCACACAGCUACUAUCCCAGCACGAGGAAGACUGGUUUACAGCCAGCCAGGGCUGUGAAAUGAAACUGUUUUAAAGUCAAAAGAAAAAAAAUGUUUAAAAUUAGUUUACUAGAAAAAUUAAAGGAAAGAACAUUCAUAUUUAAUUGAAGUUGGGGUUUUGUUGAUGUAGUUUGUUUGCUAAGACUAAAAUAUCAGAAACAAAAUUAUAUGCAGUUAUAGAAUACCAUUUGGAAUAUUCUAAAUAGCAGUUCUAAUAAUUUCACUUUACUGUCCUCAUAGAAAGUGAUGUGCCUCAACCUCUGGCCUCCAUACGCAAAUACACAGAUCCUAGCAGUACCAAAGACAUACUGUACUGGCUGGUUUUGUGUGUCAAUUUGACACAAGCUAGAGUUAUCACAGAGAAAGGAGCCUCCCUUGAGGAAAUGACUCCAUGAGAUCCAGCUGUAAGGCAUUUUUUUCUCAAUUAGUGAUCAAAGGUGGGAAGGCCCAUUGUGGGUGGUGCCAUCCCUGGGCUGGAAGUCUUGGGUUCUAAAAGCAAGCUGAGCAAGCUAGGGAAAGCAAGCCAGUAACAUCCCUCCAUGACCUCUGCAUCAGCUCCUGCUUCCUGACCUGCUUGAGUUCCAGUCCUGACUUCCUUUGGUGAUGAACAGCAAUGUGGAAGUGUAAGCUGAAUAAACCCUUUCCUCCCCUACUUGCUUCUUGGUCAUGGUGUUUGUGCAGGAAUAGAAACCCUGACUAAGACACAUACAUUCUAGUAUAAAGUUUUAGUUCCAUAAUGAUUAAGAUAGAAAACUUGCCGGGUGGUGGUGGCACAUGCCUUUAAUCUCAGCACUUAGGGCAGAGGCAGCUCUCUAUGUGUUUCAGGCCAUCCUGGUCUACAUAGUAAGUUCUAAGACAGCCAGGACUACUCAGAGAAACUCUGUCUUGAGAAACCAAAAAAGGAAAAGGAACAUUUGGUAUGUACAUUUAAAAAAUAAGUAAAUGUUGCAUACACACACACAUAUAAAACGGACCCUGAAAUAAUGGUCCAUUAAAAAACAAGAAUCUACUGUGAAUUUUGAGUGCAUGUUUUAGAGAGUGAAACAAUGUCUGAUCAAAAAUGUUUAUAAAUGAUGGUCAUCUCUGACAUUCCAAAACUACACUGAUUUACCCACCCCCAAAGAAUGGACAUUUAGACUUUUUAUAUGGUGAUUUGAAUUGAGAGUGUGGUGUGGUGUGUAAAUGCAACUUUUAUUGUUGUCUCGGAGGCUUACAGCCUUUGGCUGCUAUCCUAAGCGUUUAGCUUCCGUACAAUCUUAUCUAGGCCUAGAAUGUCUUCAGCCUCUGAGACUCACUGCUGAAUAAGCUCACCCCUUCCGAGUUCUUUCUGACCUCUGGCUGGCUGAGUCAACUCAGCUUUUCUGGCUCAAACUCCUCUCCAAGCUGAUUUAAUCAGGCUUCUCACUCUGAGUCUCUCCUGAAUUGCUCUGUUUGACCUCAUAUUAACUUUGGCAAUAUGUUCUAACCUUCUGGCCCUUCAUUUUCUAGCUCAUUCUAUCUUUACCUGUGUCUAGCUUGUUCUUUCUUCAACCUGUUUCUGUAAAACUUUCCUGGUAAAACCGCCUGGCUGCUUCUUCCUCACCACACUGUUCUGGUAAGUAGUUUCCCUUUCUUCUCUCAUGAGAGUUCUGCAUAUCCUAUUCUAUCAAAUGUUUCUCUGAUUCAUAACUUUGUCUGCCACUCAAUUAGACAUCACUUUCAAACAUGGGUGCCUCCUUCUACAAACUAACUUUCAUUAUUUAUGACUAAAGGUGUAUGCUAAGGCCAUGUCUGUAUUCCAGCCAGAAGAAUUAAAGGUGUGUACUAAGGGCUGAGCCACACCAGAACUAAAAAUAGGGCUUUUUAGUAAAUUACACAAUCUCAGGGUUCAAAUUUGGUUAAAUAUCCUACAACAUGUGUGUAUGUGUAGCUGGAGAUCAAGCCCAGGGCUUUGUAUGCUAAGUAGGGGUUCUAACUUUAAGCUGUCUCCAGACUCUACUGAAAUUUUGUAAGCUGUUUAACUACUCAUGUUUUAUUAUCAAGUCAAAAUUCCCAGUAAUUCUAUUUCUAUAUUCAUUUGAAUAAGUGAAUUGUUAAGUCUGCACAUGUUUGCUUUCAUUUUAAUAGCAUUUAGAUUUGACACAUGAAAUUUGAAUUAAUGGAUUACCAAGUAAAGGAUGUUUCUGUGGAUUUAGAAGGUGAUUUCUAAAUUGUUUUGAAAAAGAGAAACCAUUUUUCCUAUUAUGCAUCUUAAAUCUUAGAUAGGGGUAGUAGGUUGGUCCUGGAACAAAUUUGUGGUAGAAGAGGAAACACAGCCUCUGUCCCUGGUUGUACCUCUGACUUGCUAUUUAUAUCACAGUACCAUGCCUUUCAUGGAAUUGGUUUCAUUUAUAAAAUACAGACUUUAAUAAUAUAAAGAUUUGCAAAUCUCUUUAGGCAAUUUAAAGAAAAUAUUUUGGUAUUUCUUUUUCUGAGUCAGUUUUUGUUCCAAAAUACUUACAAUAAAGUGAAUCAUUAUGUGAAAAA